rnacentral:misc_RNA from 1 species
GGGGAAACUAAGUCCUCGUUUUAUGGGGCCAUACGAGGUUCUGGAAAGAGUGGUUCCUUUGGCAUAUCGAUUGGCACUACCUCCAGAGUUGGAGAAGAUACAUAAUGUCUUCUAUGUGUCUAUUUUGAGGAGGUAUAGAUCUGACCCAUUUCAUGUACUACCAGUAGAAGAAAUUGAAGUGAAUCUAGACCUUACAUAUGAGGAAGAACCCAUAGAGAUUAUGGCUUAUGAGGUGAAGCAGCUAC